AAAUGACAAAUGCAACUAUAAACCUUGAUGUAUUUUUGGGCGCAUCAUUUUUUAUAUUUUUUUUCUCCUUCGGUUUCUUCUUUCUCCUCUUGUGUUUCUUUAAAAGCCGUCGCUUGAAAGUUAGAAACCCCCAGAGACGGAGAAACGGGGAAGCUGGCGUGGCCGACCUCCAGCAGUUUGAGAUUGUCCAGGUCCAGGGAGCUCUCGGAGGCAGCAGCUUCCAUCAUGUUCAGGUUGUGCAGGCCCUGUUUCCCGUCUCCUGACGACAACAACAACAGAAAAACACAACAACUCAGGUUCUUGCAGCACAUUCUAGCGACCUUCGAAGAUGACGAUUCCUGCUCUCUUCCUCGCAAGCUCAGCGCCAUGAACCAUCAAAGACGUUCCGGGAAAAAGCGAAAAACCCUUUGAAUACCAAGUAAACCGCACAAACCAGUUUGGUUUUUGUGUUGUGUCUGUUGCCAUAUUUUUACUAGAUGGUCCCAUCUGAUUAUGUUCAAAGUCAGAUAAAGCCUGUUUUGCGUUCAGCUAGCCAAGAGUUGAAGCGAGUUCAAAGACUUGCAUCGUACCAUUUUAUGGAAAACAGAAUUCCUAAAAUAACAAAAUAAAUAAAGAAUCAAAUGCUUGAUACUUGAA